rnacentral:pre_miRNA from 1 species
AAUAAACGAAUUUCUGUGUCUUUUUAGAAUUUUUGACUCUUCGUCUUAUUUGAAUUUUUUUACGAUUAAUAUUUUUAUUGUUACUCCAUGACAAAAUAUAAAUAGUAUUUUACACGUGACUAAUUUUUUAAUAAAUUUUUUAAAUAAGACGGAUGGUCAAAUGCUCGACUAAAAAACCCAG